GUCCUAUCAGGUCUACAAGGUACUGCUUUGCAGGACUCUCUGACCCCCGAGUUUAUGAUAAAGCUUCUGUUCUAAGACAGUCCCUGAAAUUUACAGAAUAGGUGCCACAUUUAUGGCUUAAUACUCCACCAUCACUGGUUCUCUUCCCUAUGUCUAUGUGCAGUUGUGAGUUCCUUUUUAAAUUCCAUCCAUUCCACAAAGAAAAUUCUCUUAUGAGAGAUUUAUCAAGCAAGAAGGUAAAUAGAAGUCAAGGCCUGAACAGGAUUCAUGACACCAACAUCUGUGUUACUGUCAAUUUUGGAACUCUAACUCAGAUACUACACCAAUAAAGGUCAAAUUUAAUUA